CUUUUCUGCCGGUUCCUCCCGCUGAGGAAGUGUCGCUCAAGACGCUGGCCUACGAGUUGUGAUUUCUGCCCUUUCCCCUUCCUCCUUGGGCUAAGCCAGACCAGAAAGGGCCCCGUGCGCAACGUGCUUCACAGUCUCUCAGGGAAAGCGGCUAACGUGGCGCUACUCCGCCUGCCCUGUUCCUUACCCUGGGGGCUGCCGCCAUGUUUCCUGAACACAAAAUGGCGACACGUGAGGAAGACAAACAUAAAGAUGAAGUGCUUAAUUCAAGGUCACACAAUGUCGGGGAUGGACCUCCAGAUUUCCUUACUGGAAAACAAGCUCAGGGCUCCCACUGAUUGUACAUUAUGAGACGGAGUCUUGCUAUGUUGCCCAGGCUGGUCUUGAACUCCUCACCUCAAGCGAUCCUCUCGUCUUGGCCUCCCAAGUGUCAGGAUUACAGGCAUGUGCUAUCACACCCAACCUGAUACAUUGCCUUUAUAAAUUUUUUUUUCUUUAUUCUAAAAACCAGAAAAAACAAAACUGGAUACAUGUGCAGAACAUGCAGGUUUGUUACAUAGCUGUACGUGUGCCAUGGUGGUUUGCUGCACCUAUUGACCUAUCCUGGUAAAUUUUUGAAGGCAGGAGGCAUCUCUUAUAUCCUGUAGUGAUGAGCAUAAUACGAGUUCAAUAAAUACACAUUUGGCAAAGAUGAGAGAGGUGGAGAGAGAAAGAGGUUCCUCUGCUGAAGAAGUGUGAUUACUUUUGGGUUUUGUCUACCUCAUGUGGUACCCAUUUCUAGCAGGGAAUUUCUUCCACUUGCAGACCAAGUGUGUUGGGGACUUGAGAUGCGUACAUGAGUGUUUGUGAUGUUUCCUGCCGAAAGCACAGGUGAGACGUGGUCUUGUAACACAGUGGUUAAGAAUGUGACUUUGGAGCCAGCCUGCUAGGGGCUGAAUUCUGACUCAGCCAUUUACUAACUGUGUGACCUUAGGCUGGAGUGCAAUGGCAUGAUCUCGGCUCACCACAAUCUCUGCUUCCUGGGUUCAAGCGAUUCUCCUGCCUCAGCCUCCCAAGUACCUGGGACUACAGGCACUCGCCACCAUGCCCGGCUGAUAUUUGUAUUUUUAAUAGAGAUGGUUUCCCUAUUUGGCCAGGCUGGUCUCGAACUCCUGACCUUGUGAUCUGCCCACCUCAGCCUCGAAAAGUGCUGGGAUUACAGGCGUGAGCCACUGCGCCCAGCCUUGUAUUUUUUUCAGUUUGGGUAGCUGUCCCUAAUUCAUUUGUUAAAGGAGAAGCAAGAGCAAGAACCUUUAAUCUGUUCUCCUCUUCCCUAAUUUGAAAGUAGCUUGUUAUUUUGAAUAUCACUUUCUCUGAAAUAGCACAUCUCCAUCUCAGAGAAUGGAUUUAAUGUUUGGAUACAGCCAAAAGUCGUUUCAUUACCAAACGAUGGGGUGAAUAUACCAUGUAAAGCAGUUUGGGAUCAGAACUCACAGUCUGAAUUGUAAGUGAUGAGACUGCUGUCUCUCUGCUACAGCUUCUUGGCUGGCUCUGAAGGCUCUUUGAAGGCAGAUCCUAACCAGGGGACUGCUUUGAAGGGCCAUUGUUCAUUUGGAAUGAUAAAGUCUAUGUUGUUCAAAAAACAAAUGCUUGUAGCAGGUAUUUUUUCACUCCAGACUGAGAAUAUUGGUGGGAUAUUGAUAAAGGGGUACUGAAUGGUAAUAAACAUGUGCUCUAGCUCUGCGCUAAUCAGCUUAUUUCAGAACUCUAGUUUGAUUCAGUUUCUUGCCUCUGACUCAAAAUGGAGGGAGAGUGAUUUUUACAUAAGAGAACACACCCACAUAUCCUUUUGGCAGCAGCUACCUGCCAGAGAUGUUGAAGAAGAGUAGCCAACCUUUACACAGCACAUAUUGUGUGCCAGUCAUAGUCCUAAGUAUAAUACCUUACAUGUAUAAACUUAUUAUAAGGUUGGUGCUCUGUACCGAAUUGAAUAGUAUCCCCCAAAAUUCAUGUUGUCCCAGAACCUAUGAAAGUGAUCUUACUUGGGGGAGAGGGGAGGGGGGAGGGAUAGCAUUAGGAGAUAUACCUAAUGCUAAAUGACGAGUUAAUGGGUGCAGCACACCAGCAUGGCUGGUUAGUUACAUGUAUACAUAUGUAACUAACCUGCACAUUGUGCACAUGUACCCUAAAACUUAAAGUAUAAUAAUAAU
rnacentral:antisense_RNA from 1 species